rnacentral:rRNA from 1 species
AACGAACGCUGGCGGCAUGCCUAACACAUGCAAGUCGAACGAGACCUUCGGGUCUAGUGGCGCACGGGUGCGUAACGCGUGGGAACCUGCCCUUAGGUUCGGAAUAACUCCCCGAAAGGGGUGCUAAUACCGGAUAAUGUCUUCGGACCAAAGAUUUAUCGCCUUUGGAUGGGCCCGCGUUGGAUUAGCUAGUUGGUAGGGUAAAAGCCUACCAAGGCGACGAUCCAUAGCUGGUCUGAGAGGAUGAUCAGCCACACUGGGACUGAGACACGGCCCAGACUCCUACGGGAAGCAGCAGUGGGGAAUAUUGGACAAUGGGUGAAAGCCUGAUCCAGCAAUGCCGCGUGAGUGAUGAAGGCCUUAGGGUUGUAAAGCUCUUUUACCCGGGAUGAUAAUGACAGUACCGGGAGAAUAAGCGCCGGCUAACUCCGUG